AGGACGACUGCACUGUAUAGGAUGGAGGAGGAUGGGUGGCGCCGUGGGUGGCUCUACAUGUGACGAAAGAUGCCUGAACACGCCCCUUUCUUAGAGUCAGAGCCACCUAACUUGUGUUUGG